AGGAGGUGCUCACACUGCAGUUGGGACGUUUUGCCGGUUUCGUGGGCGCGCACUGGUGGAACCAGCAGGAUGCUGCGCUGGGCUGAGCGACCGAUGCCAAGGAGCCCCCGGGAGAGCUGUGCCCCGACGUCCUGUAUCGUACGGGCCGGACGCUGCACGGCCAGGAGACCUACACGCCGCGACUCAUCCUCAUGGAUCUGAAGGGUAGUUUGAGCUCCCUAAAAGAGGAAGGUGGACUCUACAGGGACAAACAGUUGGAUGCUGCAAUAGCAUGGUGUGUAACUGAUGUAUGGAUAAGGGUGGGGGAUCGUGUAUGUACGCAGAACGCUGGAUAACUCUGAUCAGAGUGCAGUUUCUUUGAUCAAUCUCCAAACUCUUUCAGGCAGGGGAAGCUCACCACACACAAAGAGGAACUCUAUCCCAAGAACCCUUAUCUCCAAGACUUUCUGAGUGCAGAGGGAGUGCUGAGUAGUGAUGGUGUUUGGAGGGUCAAAUCCAUUCCCAAUGGCAAAGGUGAGACUUCUCCAGAUACUGAUGGAUGGGGGUUUGGGUAGAGCAGAAACGUGGAGAAAGGUACAUUUCCUCUGCUUGUCUUCAGGUUCCUCACCACUCACCACCGCUACAACUCCAAAACCACUUAUCCCUACAGAGGCCAGCAUCAGGGUCUGGUCAGACUUCCUCAGAGUCCAUCUCCAUCCCCGGAGCAUCUGUAUGAUUCAGAAGUACAACCACGAUGGGGAAGCAGGUCGGCUGGAGGCUUUUGGCCAAGGGGAAAGUGUCCUAAAGGAAUCCAAGUACCAGGAAGAGCUGGAGGACAGGCUGCACUUCUACGUGGAGGAAUGUGACUACCUGCAGGUAGUGGCGUGGCAAUGUGCACUCCAGGGUGGAAGCUCUUCUCAU
rnacentral:lncRNA from 1 species